rnacentral:rRNA from 1 species
GUACACUCCUGCGGGAGGCAGCAGUGGGGAAUUUUGGACAAUGGGGGCAACCCUGAUCCAGCAAUGCCGCGUGAGUGAAGAAGGCCUUCGGGUUGUAAAGCUCUUUUGUCAGGGAAGAAACGGUAGUAGCGAAUAACUAUUACUAAUGACGGUACCUGAAGAAUAAGCACCGGCUAACUACGUGCCAGCAGCCGCGGUAAUACGUAGGGUGCAAGCGUUAAUCGGAAUUACUGGGCGUAAAGCGUGCGCAGGCGGUUGUGUAAGUCAGAUGUGAAAUCCCCGGGCUCAACCUGGGAAUUGCAUUUGAGACUGCACGGCUAGAGUGUGUCAGAGGGGGGUAGAAUUCCACGUGUAGCAGUGAAAUGCGUAGAUAUGUGGAGGAAUACCGAUGGCGAAGGCAGCCCCCUGGGAUAACACUGACGCUCAUGCACGAAAGCGUGGGGAGCAAACAGGAUUAGAUACCCGUGUAGUCCCAU